AUACGGAGGAUCCGAGCGUUAUCCGGAUUUAUUGGGUUUAAAGGGUGCGCAGGCGGGAGAUUAAGUCGGCGGUGAAAUUUUUCAGCUCAACUGUGAAAGUGCCUUUGAAACUGGUUGUCUUGAGUGUAGAAGAAGAAGGCGGAACUUUGGGUGUAGCGGUUAAAUGCAUAGAUAUCACGAGGAACUCCGACUGCGCAGGCAGCUUACUAAACUACUACUGACGCUCAGGCACGAAGGCGUGGGGAUCAAACAGGAUUAGAUACCCUGGUAGUCCACGCAGUAAACGAUGAUUACUAGCUGUUUGCGAUACAAUGUAAGCGGCUGAGCGAAAGCGUUAAGUAAUCCACCUGGGGAGUACGUUCGCAAGAAUGAAACUCAAAUGAAUUGACGGGG
rnacentral:rRNA from 1 species